AAAAAGCAGCAUUAGUGUGGUGUGAGUCAGUGCUUGGGCUUAUCUCUCUCUCUUCUCUUAUAUAAGAAGGUAUAUGUGGGUUAGGGUUUUGAGGGAGAAAGAAGGAAACGCGUUGAGAUGGGUUGGUAUUGAGGGGAAUGUUGGCUGGCUCGAGGCUUUUCACAAACGAGGUUCACAGUGGAUGGAACUAUAAGGCUUCGGACCAGGCUUCAUUCCCCUCAAAAGUACUUCCUUCAUGGAUCAGUUUCUACUUUCACUUCAAACACAACACACAUCGAUCUCAUGUUUUUUUUUUGUUUGUUUGUUUCUGCCUCACAUGUUGUUCUUUCCUUGCAAAGGUGAGGUUGAGAGGAAUGUUGUCUGGCUCGAGGUCAUGGAGGAGGAGGAGGAGGAGAGUUCUCAGAUCAACUCUUUUUCGGUCAAAGUUUCCGAUGGAAAUUUACCCUCUAACACCAAAAUGAUUCUCGGACCAGGCUUCAUUCCCCCCACCCAACUUUUGCUAUUUUCUUUCUCACAAUCUUCGUACUUCAAAUCUGCAUGCCCCCAUGGUAAGCCUUUCUCUUUCUUUCAUCUUUCUCUCAAUUUUUAACACUGAAUAAUGCCCUUUUGCAGCUUCUUCUUGCAGGGUCAGAAUUUUCGACUCACAAGCCAUCUUCUUUUGUUUUACCUGUAAAUCUUUGUAAAGGUUGUAUUUUUCGUUGUGAAUACAUUAGCUUCUCCCAAAUCAAGAGCUUCUGUGAUGAUGGGUUAAUCAAUUUGUUCACAUGUAUGUAUGGCUUAAGAAACAACUUUGAGUUUGCUUCUGUACAGAAUAUUGUUGUGUAACCAUGCUCGAGUUUCGCAUUUAAUUUGAAGGCAUUUCGUAUCAGUGAAGAAUCAAUCCAUGUUUCAAAUGUUUUUGGGUAUUAUUUUCUCUCUCUCUCUCUCACGUUCACUCAUGGAGAGAGCGCAAAGCAAAUGAAAUCUGUCUAGUUUUGUGGAUACUAAUUGUAUAUUAAGAUUUGAGAGUAAGAAUAUAUUAAGAAAAAAGUUGGGUAAUUAUCGAAGGCCCUCACACCUGCGGGAAUGUUUAUUUCACGUGGACAAGAAAGGUGAAUGAAAGCAUCAACAGUGAAAACCUAUCAGAUGUGAAAUUCUUUCUUUAUCUGCAACUAGCUGCUAUACCCUCUUAGGUCUUUCUAGCGUUUCAAAACAUAACAUCCCUCUUCUGAAGUCCUUUCAGCUUUGAAUAAUGUUUCAGCUUUUUGUCAAUUAACCUGUUUUCAGGCCGGUGAAAAAUAUAGGGAAGGCAACUCCAUAAUUUACUUGGGAAAAAGGCUUUGCCAUCAUUUUCAUCAACAUCUGAAUGAAUGUACUUCAGUGAAAUGACAGUGACGAGUGUUGAAGGCAUGCACUCAGUAGCUGCUGAGAAGCAUAUGCAAAAGGAGAAAGAGUAAUGAAUGAAAGAAGAUAGAAGAGAAGAGAAGAGAAGAGAAGAGAAAAUAUGUGCUGGAACAGUUAACGAGAAGAAAGUGAGAAUCAGGAGAAGCUAUGUGUCUAUGAUUAUGAUCUAUCUAUGACCACACCACGCAAGCUUCCAUUAUCAUGACGACCCAGAUGUGUGUAUCUAGCUGCAUGCAUAACUAAGCUGAUGCAAACUAAACCUGGAAAAAAGAGAAAGAGAAAAUGCAACUUCUUUUCUAUUAGGAGUCUGAUAUGUGUGUUUUAGUGUAAUGUAUUUAUGGAGCUUCUAAAGCUGUUGAAAAUUCAGAAACCAUCUCCGGAAAAGGUUGGAUCAGCAAUAUCAGGUUCAUGAGCCUUUUCGUGGAGUCACUGUAGUAAUAGUGAGAUGAGAUCUUUUAGCAUUUCAAAUUGAAAAGCAUUUGGAGAGAGAUAAAGAGAGAGAGAAAGUAAAUGUAGAGUAUCUGAUAUGUUUCUUGGGAAAUGAAACUAAGAGAAAGACACAGCAACUCGGGGACCGUUUCAUGACAAACUUGGUCUCUUUAAAGAAGUGAAACAAUUGCACUUCUUUAUUGUUCACACAGCUUCAUUGUUAAUUUAUUAUCAUUUUAACUA